rnacentral:rRNA from 1 species
UACGUAGGUGGCAAGCGUUGUCCGGAUUUACUGGGCGUAAAGAGCGCGCAGGCGGUCGUUCAAGUCGCGUGUGAAAGCCCCCGGCUCAACUGGGGAGGGUCACGCGAUACUGAUCGACUCGAAGGCAGGAGAGGGUAGUGGAAUUCCCGGUGUAGUGGUGAAAUGCGUAGAUAUCGGGAGGAACACCAGUGGCGAAGGCGGCAUCCUGGACCGGCAUUGACGCUGAGGAGCGAAAGCCAGGGGAGCAAACGGG